GGCUCAGGAUGAACGCUAGCUACAGGCUUAACACAUGCAAGUCGAGGGGAAACGAUAGAGAAAGCUUGCUUUUUCUAGGCGUCGACCGGCGCACGGGUGAGUAACGCGUAUCCAACCUGCCCAUCACUUGGGGAUAACCUUGCGAAAGUAAGACUAAUACCCAAUGAUAUCUCUAGAAGACAUCUGAAAGAGAUUAAAGAUUUAUCGGUGAUGGAUGGGGAUGCGUCUGAUUAGCUUGUUGGCGGGGUAACGGCCCACCAAGGCGACGAUCAGUAGGGGUUCUGAGAGGAAGGUCCCCCACAUUGGAACUGAGACACGGUCCAAACUCCUACGGGAGGCAGCAGUGAGGAAUAUUGGUCAAUGGACGAGAGUCUGAACCAGCCAAGUAGCGUGCAGGAUGACGGCCCUAUGGGUUGUAAACUGCUUUUAUAAGGGAAUAAAGUGAGAGUCGUGACUCUUUUUGCAUGUACCUUAUGAAUAAGGACCGGCUAAUUCCGUGCCAGCAGCCGCGGUAAUACGGAAGGUCCGGGCGUUAUCCGGAUUUAUUGGGUUUAAAGGGAGCGUAGGCCGGAGAUUAAGCGUGUUGUGAAAUGUAGACGCUCAACGUCUGCACUGCAGCGCGAACUGGUUUCCUUGAGUACGCACAAAGUGGGCGGAAUUCGUGGUGUAGCGGUGAAAUGCUUAGAUAUCACGAAGAACUCCGAUUGCGAAGGCAGCUCACUGGAGCGCAACUGACGCUGAAGCUCGAAAGUGCGGGUAUCGAACAGGAUUAGAUACCCUGGUAGUCCGCACGGUAAACGAUGGAUGCCCGCUGUUGGUCUGAAUAGGUCAGCGGCCAAGCGAAAGCAUUAAGCAUCCCACCUGGGGAGUACGCCGGCAACGGUGAAACUCAAAGGAAUUGACGGAAG
rnacentral:rRNA from 1 species